UUCAAAAUUCCUUUUCAUAUGUAUACAGACGGCGAGAGGGCGAGAGUGCGAAGGAGUUCAAAGGAGUGUUUGGGGUUCAAAGGACGAACGCGGCGGAGGCAGAUGAAGCACGACGGAGGACGGAGGACGAACGGGAAUCUGAGAAAAAAUAAUGGCUUCAUCUUCUAUUGAUUCUUGUCCGUUGUAGACUACGAACGACCACUGCAAUUACUUCAGGUGGUUCGCAGAUGAUGACGACGACGACGACGACGACAUUACCUCAUCAAUCCGUGCCAAUGUUGGACCUCCGACAGAUUCAAGAACAGAAGAAAUUAAUGAUUUAAGGAGAAGGGUUGGUGAGCAUGAUAGAAGGCUUAAAAGGAUUGAGAAGAUUUUCAAGGCAAUGACUUAUGUCAUUGUAUUUUGUGUAUUUUUGUACUUUAUCAUGUAAAUGACUCAGUUCUUAGGUUUUGGAAUUUUUUUUUGGUGCUUAAAAAUCUGAUGGUUUGCAAAAACAAGUGUGUAACAUGUUUGAUUGAGAUGAAAUGUUGAAUGAACAGUUUGUGAAAUCUAUUACUUCAGGUUGAAUGUUGUAUAACAGGUUUCUGAAA